AGAGUUUGAUCAUGGCUCAGGAUGAACGCUGGCGGCGUGCCUAAUACAUGCAAGUCGAGCGAACAGAUAAGGAGCUUGCUCCUUUGACGUUAGCGGCGGACGGGUGAGUAACACGUGGGUAACCUACCUAUAAGACUGGAAUAACUCCGGGAAACCGGGGCUAAUGCCGGAUAACAUUUAGAACCGCAUGGUUCUAAAGUGAAAGAUGGUUUUGCUAUCACUUAUAGAUGGACCCGCGCCGUAUUAGCUAGUUGGUAAGGUAACGGCUUACCAAGGCAACGAUACGUAGCCGACCUGAGAGGGUGAUCGGCCACACUGGAACUGAGACACGGUCCAGACUCCUACGGGAGGCAGCAGUAGGGAAUCUUCCGCAAUGGGCGAAAGCCUGACGGAGCAACGCCGCGUGAGUGAUGAAGGUCUUCGGAUCGUAAAACUCUGUUAUUAGGGAAGAACAAAUGUGUAAGUAACUAUGCACGUCUUGACGGUACCUAAUCAGAAAGCCACGGCUAACUACGUGCCAGCAGCCGCGGUAAUACGUAGGUGGCAAGCGUUAUCCGGAAUUAUUGGGCGUAAAGCGCGCGUAGGCGGUUUCUUAAGUCUGAUGUGAAAGCCCACGGCUCAACCGUGGAGGGUCAUUGGAAACUGGGAAACUUGAGUGCAGAAGAGGAAAGUGGAAUUCCAUGUGUAGCGGUGAAAUGCGCAGAGAUAUGGAGGAACACCAGUGGCGAAGGCGACUUUCUGGUCUGUAACUGACGCUGAUGUGCGAAAGCGUGGGGAUCAAACAGGAUUAGAUACCCUGGUAGUCC
rnacentral:rRNA from 1 species